rnacentral:rRNA from 1 species
UACGGAGGGUGCAAGCGUUGUUCGGAAUUACUGGGCGUAAAGCGCGUGUAGGCGGCUUGGCAAGUCGGAUGUGAAAUCCCCGGGCUCAACCCGGGAACUGCAUCCGAAACUGCUUCGCUAGAGUCUCGGAGAGGAAGGCAGAAUUCCCAGUGUAGGGGUGAAAUCCGUAGAUACUGGGAGGAAUACCGGCAGCGAAGGCGGCCUUCUGGACGAUGACUGACGCUGAGACGCGAAAGCGUGGGGAGCAAACAGGAUUAGAUACCCUGGUAGUCCACGCCGUAAACGUUGUGCACUAGGUGUCGGGAGUAUUCACCCUCCCGGUGCCGACGCUAACGCAAUAAGUGCACCGCCUGGGGAGUACGGCCGCAAGGCUAAA